GGUUAAGCGACUAAGCGUACACGGUGGAUGCCCUGGCAGUCAGAGGCGAUGAAGGACGUGCUAAUCUGCGAUAAGCGUCGGUAAGGUGAUAUGAACCGUUAUAACCGGCGAUUUCCGAAUGGGGAAACCCAGUGUGUUUCGACACACUAUCAUUAACUGAAUCCAUAGGUUAAUGAGGCGAACCGGGGGAACUGAAACAUCUAAGUACCCCGAGGAAAAGAAAUCAACCGAGAUUCCCCCAGUAGCGGCGAGCGAACGGGGAGCAGCCCAGAGCCUGAAUCAGUGUGUGUGUUAGUGGAAGCGUCUGGAAAGGCGCGCGAUACAGGGUGACAGCCCCGUACACAAAAAUGCACAUGCUGUGAGCUCGAUGAGUAGGGCGGGACACGUGGUAUCCUGUCUGAAUAUGGGGGGACCAUCCUCCAAGGCUAAAUACUCCUGACUGACCGAUAGUGAACCAGUACCGUGAGGGAAAGGCGAAAAGAACCCCGGCGAGGGGAGUGAAAAAGAACCUGAAACCGUGUACGUACAAGCAGUGGGAGCACGCUUAGGCGUGUGACUGCGUACCUUUUGUAUAAUGGGUCAGCGACUUAUAUUCUGUAGCAAGGUUAACCGAAUAGGGGAGCCGAAGGGAAACCGAGUCUUAACUGGGCGUUAAGUUGCAGGGUAUAGACCCGAAACCCGGUGAUCUAGCCAUGGGCAGGUUGAAGGUUGGGUAACACUAACUGGAGGACCGAACCGACUAAUGUUGAAAAAUUAGCGGAUGACUUGUGGCUGGGGGUGAAAGGCCAAUCAAACCGGGAGAUAGCUGGUUCUCCCCGAAAGCUAUUUAGGUAGCGCCUCGUGAAUUCAUCUCCGGGGGUAGAGCACUGUUUCGGCAAGGGGGUCAUCCCGACUUACCAACCCGAUGCAAACUGCGAAUACCGGAGAAUGUUAUCACGGGAGACACACGGCGGGUGCUAACGUCCGUCGUGAAGAGGGAAACAACCCAGACCGCCAGCUAAGGUCCCAAAGUCAUGGUUAAGUGGGAAACGAUGUGGGAAGGCCCAGACAGCCAGGAUGUUGGCUUAGAAGCAGCCAUCAUUUAAAGAAAGCGUAAUAGCUCACUGGUCGAGUCGGCCUGCGCGGAAGAUGUAACGGGGCUAAACCAUGCACCGAAGCUGCGGCAGCGACGCUUAUGCGUUGUUGGGUAGGGGAGCGUUCUGUAAGCCUGUGAAGGUGUACUGUGAGGUAUGCUGGAGGUAUCAGAAGUGCGAAUGCUGACAUAAGUAACGAUAAAGCGGGUGAAAAGCCCGCUCGCCGGAAGACCAAGGGUUCCUGUCCAACGUUAAUCGGGGCAGGGUGAGUCGACCCCUAAGGCGAGGCCGAAAGGCGUAGUCGAUGGGAAACAGGUUAAUAUUCCUGUACUUGGUGUUACUGCGAAGGGGGGACGGAGAAGGCUAUGUUGGCCGGGCGACGGUUGUCCCGGUUUAAGCGUGUAGGCUGGUUUUCCAGGCAAAUCCGGAAAAUCAAGGCUGAGGCGUGAUGACGAGGCACUACGGUGCUGAAGCAACAAAUGCCCUGCUUCCAGGAAAAGCCUCUAAGCAUCAGGUAACAUCAAAUCGUACCCCAAACCGACACAGGUGGUCAGGUAGAGAAUACCAAGGCGCUUGAGAGAACUCGGGUGAAGGAACUAGGCAAAAUGGUGCCGUAACUUCGGGAGAAGGCACGCUGAUAUGUAGGUGAAGUCCCUCGCGGAUGGAGCUGAAAUCAGUCGAAGAUACCAGCUGGCUGCAACUGUUUAUUAAAAACACAGCACUGUGCAAACACGAAAGUGGACGUAUACGGUGUGACGCCUGCCCGGUGCCGGAAGGUUAAUUGAUGGGGUCAGCGCAAGCGAAGCUCUUGAUCGAAGCCCCGGUAAACGGCGGCCGUAACUAUAACGGUCCUAAGGUAGCGAAAUUCCUUGUCGGGUAAGUUCCGACCUGCACGAAUGGCGUAAUGAUGGCCAGGCUGUCUCCACCCGAGACUCAGUGAAAUUGAACUCGCUGUGAAGAUGCAGUGUACCCGCGGCAAGACGGAAAGACCCCGUGAACCUUUACUAUAGCUUGACACUGAACAUUGAGCCUUGAUGUGUAGGAUAGGUGGGAGGCUUUGAAGUGUGGACGCCAGUCUGCAUGGAGCCGACCUUGAAAUACCACCCUUUAAUGUUUGAUGUUCUAACGUGGACCCGUAAUCCGGGUUGCGGACAGUGUCUGGUGGGUAGUUUGACUGGGGCGGUCUCCUCCUAAAGAGUAACGGAGGAGCACGAAGGUUGGCUAAUCCUGGUCGGACAUCAGGAGGUUAGUGCAAUGGCAUAAGCCAGCUUGACUGCGAGCGUGACGGCGCGAGCAGGUGCGAAAGCAGGUCAUAGUGAUCCGGUGGUUCUGAAUGGAAGGGCCAUCGCUCAACGGAUAAAAGGUACUCCGGGGAUAACAGGCUGAUACCGCCCAAGAGUUCAUAUCGACGGCGGUGUUUGGCACCUCGAUGUCGGCUCAUCACAUCCUGGGGCUGAAGUAGGUCCCAAGGGUAUGGCUGUUCGCCAUUUAAAGUGGUACGCGAGCUGGGUUUAGAACGUCGUGAGACAGUUCGGUCCCUAUCUGCCGUGGGCGCUGGAGAAUUGAGGGGGGCUGCUCCUAGUACGAGAGGACCGGAGUGGACGCAUCACUGGUGUUCGGGUUGUCAUGCCAAUGGCACUGCCCGGUAGCUAAAUGCGGAAGAGAUAAGUGCUGAAAGCAUCUAAGCACGAAACUUGCCCCGAGAUGAGUUCUCCCUGACUCCUUGAGAGUCCUGAAGGAACGUUGAAGACGACGACGUUGAUAGGCCGGGUGUGUAAGCGCAGCGAUGCGUUGAGCUAACCGGUACUAAUGAACCGUGAGGCUUAACCUU
rnacentral:rRNA from 1 species